UAUAUAUAUAUAUAUUGGAUUUACCUGUUCCUGAAACAGGGGCUCAGAGAGGUCAAACAACUUAGGUACAGUCAAGUGAGUAGGAGACAAAGAGCCCUCAGCCACCUUCAGCCACCUUCGAGCUGACCAGUAUCCCUCCAGAUUCAUCCUACUACCACCCUCGAGAGGGCCAGGAGCAGACAGUAUUAUUUAAACAUCCCUUUGUAAGCGCCCCCCCACCUGCCUUGCCAAGUGCCCGCAGCUAGGCAAGCCCUCACAAAGGUGGCAUGUGAAGAAAGAAGAGAGUGAGAUGCCAACCUGGGCCAAGUUGGGAAGGGACAAAUUCUAGAUUAUUUACCUGGCAGGUUUGGUUCGGAGAUCAGGGAUUAAGGAAGUGUGGAGGGUGCCCCUGGGACUGUGAGUGCUUACUGCACGUUACAAACUCCCUGCCGUCCCAGAACAGACUGUGUUCACCCUAACACACCCUUGCCAGCAGUGUGGGCAGAGCCCAGCCAGAUCCUGGACACCAAGGGAGUAGGAGCUGUGCAGGUGACAAACCAAGGGAGGAAGCGACUCCGGAGGAAGGCACUCCCGAGAGGAAAGUCGGGUCAAAGCCCCCUGUGUUUUGCCUCCCCAGGCCCUUACAGGGGGCUUCACAGGGCCUGCCUUAGCUUCAGGCAACCACAAGUGGGAGGACGAGGGCCUCCAAGAUGAGCGCUCCUGGAGGAAUAGUGGUAACCUCUUCUGUCAGCCCUCUUCCAGCUCCCAGCCCAGAACCUGGUGUACUAUAGGGCAGUGACCCUGUGGACAAGGAAGGAGAGCCAAUCGAAGCAUCCCAGCACCUCCCAAGAAGGGCCUACUACUCGCCAGGGAUGGUGCAAUUGAGAAUCCAGAACCCCAGACUCAGGAAAGAACGGCCCCUGCUGUCCCUUCCUCGCUUUCGGUCCCAAUCACGUUGUCAAGCUUUUGUGUGAACCGACCCAGCUGUAACCCUUCCCCACUCGGCCUACCAUGAGGCAGAGUCCCUGAGAGGUGCUGCAGCCUCGCUGCCCUCCGUCCUCCUACCCACCUGGAGGCAGGGUGGACCCCAGGACAUAGGUGCCCCCUUUCCGCAUGGAAAAGGCCAGCAUCACCCUGCUCCCAAAAGCAGAGUCACAGAAAGGUCUGGUGGAACCUGCCGCUGCCCAGCAACGUCAGGACGACCGAGUCGGCAGGAAUUGGGUGGUGUUACGGUGUUACAACUGAGCACCCUUGCAGCAGGUCAGGGAAGGAAAGCCGGCCACCUCCAGGGCACCCUCCUCAUUCAAGAUGCAGAAAGAAGAGAUGAUGGCUCCCCUCAAGUUCCUUCCUGCCCGAAGCCACCAGGGUUCAUUCUGUGGUCUAACUGCUAGCCCUCUACUGACAGGUUAAGUCUAGAUCCCCAGAAAGAAAGGCAAACUUCCCAGGGCCCAUUCAUCUCUAGAGAGAGAGAGAGAGAGAGAGAGAGAGAGAGAGAGAGAGAGAGAGAGAGAGACUGGACUUACUCGCCCUACACAAGGAAGGAUUCUCGUCCAUCUCCCUAGUGGCCUCGGUCCUUGGGCAGCGCCCUCUGCUGGCCAGUGCAAAGUGCGGGAAAGAACAAAGUCCUGCACAUGUACGCAAGGAAGAUCUAGGGAAGGGGACAAGGGGCAGAGAAACAAGUGAGGACUUUAAGCUCCCCUAUCAAAGCCCAUGCAUACAUUAAGACGAGCCCCUAGACGUGGGAAAAUCAUGACCAGCUUUACUUGGGGCUGGGGGGUAAGUAAGCUAGCAAACAGGGCUUUUGACAUCCCAGAAAUGGCACUCCCUGCCCUGAAUGGCUCACUUGCCCUCUGUCCCUGAAACCCUUGUGCCUGCCAGACGGCCUUCCCUGCCACCUCCUACCAGGACAACAUGCUGGAAGGCCAGGUCUGGUACCCUGAACCCAGGAGCUUAAAGAGAGGGCACCCCAAGACUUAAGCGUGCAACUGGCAGUAGCUGUCUCUCGCACUUCACACACACAAGAGC
rnacentral:lncRNA from 1 species